rnacentral:rRNA from 1 species
GACGAACGCUGGCGGCGUGCUUAACACAUGCAAGUCGAACGGUAAGGCCCUUCGGGGUACACGAGUGGCGAACGGGUGAGUAACACGUGGGUGAUCUGCCCUGCACUUCGGGAUAAGCCUGGGAAACUGGGUCUAAUACCGGAUAGGACUCCUGGCUUCAUGGUUGGGGGUGGAAAGCUUUUGCGGUGUGGGAUGGGACCGCGGCCUAUCAGCUUGUUGGUGGGGUAAUGGCCUACCAAGGCGACGACGGGUAGCCGGCCUGAGAGGGUGACCGGUCACACUGGGACUGAGAUACGGCCCAGACUCCUACGGGAGGCAGCAGUGGGGAAUAUUGCACAAUGGGCGCAAGCCUGAUGCAGCGACGCCGCGUGAGGGAUGACGGCCUUCGGGUUGUAAACCUCUUUCAGCUAUGACGAAGCGCAAGUGACGGUAGUAGCAGAAGAGGGACCGGCCAACUACGUGCCAGCCGCCGCAGUAAAAC